rnacentral:rRNA from 1 species
UACGUAGGGGGCAAGCGUUGUCCGGAUUUAUUGGGCGUAAAGAGCGUGUAGGCGGUUCGGUAGGUCCGUUGUGAAAACUCGAGCUCAACCUCGAGACGCCGAUGGAAACCCCCGAACUAGAGUCCGGAAGAGGACGAGUGGAAUUCCUGGUGUAGCGGUGAAAUGCGCAGAUAUCAGGAAGAACACCCGUGGCUAAGGCGGCUCUCUAGUACGGUACUGACGCUGAGGCGCGAAAGCUAGGGGAGCAAACAGG